AUUGAACGCUGGCGGCAGGCCUAACACAUGCAAGUCGAGCGAGCGGCGGACGGGUGAGUAAUGUAUGGGGACUGCCCGAUAGAGGGGGAUAACUACUGGAAAAGGUAGCUAAUACCGCAUACUAUCGGAUAAUCCAUAUGGGAUUGGCUAGUAGGUGGGGUAAAGGCUCACCUAGGCGACGAUCUCUAGCUGGUCUGAGAGGAUGAUCAGCCACACUGGGACUGAGACACGGCCCAGAUUCCUACGGAGGCAGCGGUGGGGAAGAGUGCACAAUGGGCGCAAGCCUGAUGCAGCCAUGCCGCGUGUAUGAAGAAGGCCUUAAGGUUUUAAAGUACUAUCAGCGGGGAGGCGUUACCCGCAGAAGAAGCACCGGCUAACUCCGUGCCAGCAGCCGCGGUAAUUC
rnacentral:rRNA from 1 species